rnacentral:rRNA from 1 species
UUAAGCGACUAAGCGUACACGGUGGAUGCCCUGGCAGUCAGAGGCGAUGAAGGACGUGCUAAUCUGCGAUAAGCGUCGGUAAGGUGAUAUGAACCGUUAUAACCGGCGAUUUCCGAAUGGGGAAACCCAGUGUGAUUCGACACACUAUCAUUAACUGAAUCCAUAGGUUAAUGAGGCGAACCGGGGGAACUGAAACAUCUAAGUACCCCGAGGAAAAGAAAUCAACCGAGAUUCCCCCAGUAGCGGCGAGCGAACGGGGAGCAGCCCAGAGCCUGAAUCAGUGUGUGUGUUAGUGGAAGCGUCUGGAAAGGCGCGCGAUACAGGGUGACAGCCCCGUACACAAAAAUGCACAUGCUGUGAGCUCGAUGAGUAGGGCGGGACACGUGGUAUCCUGUCUGAAUAUGGGGGGACCAUCCUCCAAGGCUAAAUACUCCUGACUGACCGAUAGUGAACCAGUACCGUGAGGGAAAGGCGAAAAGAACCCCGGCGAGGGGAGUGAAAAAGAACCUGAAACCGUGUACGUACAAGCAGUGGGAGCACGCUUAGGCGUGUGACUGCGUACCUUUUGUAUAAUGGGUCAGCGACUUAUAUUCUGUAGCAAGGUUAACCGAAUAGGGGAGCCGAAGGGAAACCGAGUCUUAACUGGGCGUUAAGUUGCAGGGUAUAGACCCGAAACCCGGUGAUCUAGCCAUGGGCAGGUUGAAGGUUGGGUAACACUAACUGGAGGACCGAACCGACUAAUGUUGAAAAAUUAGCGGAUGACUUGUGGCUGGGGGUGAAAGGCCAAUCAAACCGGGAGAUAGCUGGUUCUCCCCGAAAGCUAUUUAGGUAGCGCCUCGUGAAUUCAUCUCCGGGGGUAGAGCACUGUUUCGGCAAGGGGGUCAUCCCGACUUACCAACCCGAUGCAAACUGCGAAUACCGGAGAAUGUUAUCACGGGAGACACACGGCGGGUGCUAACGUCCGUCGUGAAGAGGGAAACAACCCAGACCGCCAGCUAAGGUCCCAAAGUCAUGGUUAAGUGGGAAACGAUGUGGGAAGGCCCAGACAGCCAGGAUGUUGGCUUAGAAGCAGCCAUCAUUUAAAGAAAGCGUAAUAGCUCACUGGUCGAGUCGGCCUGCGCGGAAGAUGUAACGGGGCUAAACCAUGCACCGAAGCUGCGGCAGCGACGCUGAUGCGUUGUUGGGUAGGGGAGCGUUCUGUAAGCCUGCGAAGGUGUGCUGUGAGGCAUGCUGGAGGUAUCAGAAGUGCGAAUGCUGACAUAAGUAACGAUAAAGCGGGUGAAAAGCCCGCUCGCCGGAAGACCAAGGGUUCCUGUCCAACGUUAAUCGGGGCAGGGUGAGUCGACCCCUAAGGCGAGGCCGAAAGGCGUAGUCGAUGGGAAACAGGUUAAUAUUCCUGUACUUGGUGUUACUGCGAAGGGGGGACGGAGAAGGCUAUGUUGGCCGGGCGACGGUUGUCCCGGUUUAAGCGUGUAGGCUGGUUUUCCAGGCAAAUCCGGAAAAUCAAGGCUGAGGCGUGAUGACGAGGCACUACGGUGCUGAAGCAACAAAUGCCCUGCUUCCAGGAAAAGCCUCUAAGCAUCAGGUAACAUCAAAUCGUACCCCAAACCGACACAGGUGGUCAGGUAGAGAAUACCAAGGCGCUUGAGAGAACUCGGGUGAAGGAACUAGGCAAAAUGGUGCCGUAACUUCGGGAGAAGGCACGCUGAUAUGUAGGUGAAGUCCCUCGCGGAUGGAGCUGAAAUCAGUCGAAGAUACCAGCUGGCUGCAACUGUUUAUUAAAAACACAGCACUGUGCAAACACGAAAGUGGACGUAUACGGUGUGACGCCUGCCCGGUGCCGGAAGGUUAAUUGAUGGGGUUAGCGCAAGCGAAGCUCUUGAUCGAAGCCCCGGUAAACGGCGGCCGUAACUAUAACGGUCCUAAGGUAGCGAAAUUCCUUGUCGGGUAAGUUCCGACCUGCACGAAUGGCGUAAUGAUGGCCAGGCUGUCUCCACCCGAGACUCAGUGAAAUUGAACUCGCUGUGAAGAUGCAGUGUACCCGCGGCAAGACGGAAAGACCCCGUGAACCUUUACUAUAGCUUGACACUGAACAUUGAGCCUUGAUGUGUAGGAUAGGUGGGAGGCUUUGAAGUGUGGACGCCAGUCUGCAUGGAGCCGACCUUGAAAUACCACCCUUUAAUGUUUGAUGUUCUAACGUUGACCCGUAAUCCGGGUUGCGGACAGUGUCUGGUGGGUAGUUUGACUGGGGCGGUCUCCUCCUAAAGAGUAACGGAGGAGCACGAAGGUUGGCUAAUCCUGGUCGGACAUCAGGAGGUUAGUGCAAUGGCAUAAGCCAGCUUGACUGCGAGCGUGACGGCGCGAGCAGGUGCGAAAGCAGGUCAUAGUGAUCCGGUGGUUCUGAAUGGAAGGGCCAUCGCUCAACGGAUAAAAGGUACUCCGGGGAUAACAGGCUGAUACCGCCCAAGAGUUCAUAUCGACGGCGGUGUUUGGCACCUCGAUGUCGGCUCAUCACAUCCUGGGGCUGAAGUAGGUCCCAAGGGUAUGGCUGUUCGCCAUUUAAAGUGGUACGCGAGCUGGGUUUAGAACGUCGUGAGACAGUUCGGUCCCUAUCUGCCGUGGGCGCUGGAGAACUGAGGGGGGCUGCUCCUAGUACGAGAGGACCGGAGUGGACGCAUCACUGGUGUUCGGGUUGUCAUGCCAAUGGCACUGCCCGGUAGCUAAAUGCGGAAGAGAUAAGUGCUGAAAGCAUCUAAGCACGAAACUUGCCCCGAGAUGAGUUCUCCCUGACUCCUUGAGAGUCCUGAAGGAACGUUGAAGACGACGACGUUGAUAGGCCGGGUGUGUAAGCGCAGCGAUGCGUUGAGCUAACCGGUACUAAUGAACCGUGAGGCUUAACCUU